rnacentral:misc_RNA from 1 species
AAAGUCGUAACAAGGUUUCCGUAGGUGAACCUGCGGAAGGAUCAUUACAACGUAUCCACGUAUCAACCAAAUGUGAACCUCCCCAUCCGGAGCAAAACUCAGUGUGUCGCUAAUGGCUGAACUGUUAAAGUGGCGCUUUCACAGAUGGAAAAGCUGGACCUAAUACGUCUGGCCUUUUGAAAGCGUCCGUUCGGUCGUCGGCUCUGUCUUAACAGGGCUGAGGCUUCCUUUUGCUUCAGAUGCGGUAUAAUGUCCGCCCAUCUGCGGUCGCCUAUUGUUUUACCCCUUUUCAUUAACCCUUUGCAACUUCAUUGAACUGAACUAUGUAACACCUCUCGCGGCUGUUCUUGCUGGCUUCGGUCACGGACAGUACUUCAAACGUGGGACUGUUAUAACAUAUUACGAAACGCACGAACAACUCUUAACAACGGAUAUCUUGGUUCUC